ensembl:lncRNA
AGCUCCAGGUUCCAGCUCCCAGGCCGAGUGGCUGCUAAAUGCCUCUGGAACAGGACCUAAGAGUCACCCCAGACCCAGGGGGAGGAAGGAGAGUGACCAAAACUCUACAGAGGCAGCACGACCACCAGCCCGUCCCCUGGGUUCCCCUGCACAGAAGACACAUCCUGAACAGACACUGUCCCAGUAUCAGGGAAACCAGCUUCUUUUCAUUUCAUCAACAAAACUGGACACGGAUCAAUUUCAACUGACCUUUGCCGAAAGGUGGCGCUGUUGAGGUAAAAACCAAGUCGGUCCAACAAUAGUUUUCACUCUUCGAUCGUUUUGCAGGCUUUUCAGAAUUUUUUUUUUUUAAUGCACCGUCCUAGCGUCCCCCCCCCCGUCCCAUAAAAUAAGAUAAAUAUGAUUAACACCAAAUGCAUUUCAUUAAUUGGAGGAAUCAACAGUCCAACAUCCAAGAGGGCGGGCUGGUCUUUCAAACGCUGGGUCGGCUUCACGCACUCUUGCUUCCCCCCAAGUCAGUCUCGGCUUUUCCAUCUGGUCUAUCGCUUUAAAAUCUUAGAAACAGAGUUGUUGGUUCUUUUUUCUUUUCUUUCUCUUUCCUUCCUUUUUCUUUUUUGCAUAAGCUUUAGAAGGAUCGGUCUAGAAAACUGAAUAGUCAGUAGCAUCCGCGACCCCGAGGGGGAGAUGCGGCCCCCCACUCCACUCCACCCCACCCCCACUCUAGGUUUCCGGGCCCGUCCGAGAAACCGCCGUUUAAAAUUUAACCCUUCGAGGGGAGCUGGCGAAGGCUGGGUGUUUGUUUUUUUUGUACCCCUUGUUCCACGCCACGAUCAAGUCUGAAAUAAUUAAGUGAAACGUAAAAGUGCAAAGGGCGCGCGGGACCCUGAUAAACAGGAGUCAGAUUUCAUAAGGGUGUGUGUGUGUGUGUGUGUGUGUGUGUGAGUGAGUGAGUGAGCGGGGGGAGAGAAAUGAAUCUCAAAGGCCAAACUCGGGCCGGAGUCGGAAGCCGGAGGGUGAGCCGGACUGACCUGACUCCGAGCUUUCCCGGAGUUAAUUCGCGGAGGAGUUCGCUCCCCCCGCAAGGGCAUGCGACGCCAGCGGGCAUCCAGCCCCCGCGCGGAAUGGCUCCCGAACAACUUAGUUCACCUCCUUUAAAAGAGGGUGAUAAAGCGCGCUUUCUCUUUCCGCCGACUCCAGACCGCCCCGGCAGGCGCGCGGCGGGGCGACGUCCUCCGCGCCGUCUGGACCCCUGCACACCCGCGCGCGGCCACCGGGAAGAGGGACAAAGAGUUUGGGCCAAGUUUGAGCUCCGGGCACUGCCAGGCUCGGGGGAAGGAAGGUCCCCCGGGCGGACACCUGGGUGCCGAAGGUGGAGCAAGGAGAAAAAGCUACCCGCCCGGCUGCACCUCUGUCUUGCACUUGGCACGGAGGGAGGAAGACCGCGAGGUUGAGAGAGAGAGAGAGAGAGAGAGAGAGAGAGAGGAAAGGAAAAAAAAAAAAGCCAGGCAGAAGAGGAGGCGAGAAGCAUGAAGUGUUAACUCCCCUGUGCCAAGGCCCGCGCCGCCCGGACAGCGGCCCGCCGCGCCUCCAGCCCCGAGCGGCCGCCGCGCGCGCCCCGCCUGCAGCCCGGGCCGGCGAGGCGAGCACUCCUUAUGCAAAACGCGCAGCGGAGCGGCGAGCGGAGGACGCCGCGCACCCAGCCGGGCUCUUCUGGCUUCGCCGCCGCCGCCGCCACCGCAGCCCGCAGAGGACCUUCCCGAGCCUGAAGCCGCCGGCUCGGCGCGCUAGGAGGCGAGCAAGCGAGGAGGGGCCGGGGCGAGCGAGCAAGCACAUUGGCGUGAGCAGGGGGGAGGGAGGGCGGGCGCGGGGGGCGCGGGCAGGGCGGGGGGGGGGGGGUGUGCGCGCUCGGAGGUUUCGGGCCAGCCACCGCCGCGCGAGCUAGAAGCGCCCCAGCCCGGCAAGCUGGCUCACCCGCUGGCCACCCAGCACAGCCCGCUGGCCCCUCUCCUGCAGCCCAUCUGGCGGAGCGGCGGCGGCG